rnacentral:lncRNA from 1 species
AACGAAGCAAGCAGAGGAAGGUGGGAUAAGCUGGCUUGCUGAGUUUUCUAACUUUCAUCUUUUUCCCAUGCUGGAUGCUUCCUGCCGUUGGACAUCAGACUCCAGGUUCUUCGGGGACUCUUGGACUUACACCAGCGUUUUGCCGGGGGCUCUGUCGGCUGCACUGUCAGUUUCCCUACUUUUGAGACUUUUGGACUCGGACUGAGCCACUACUGGCUUCCUUCUUUCUCAGCUUGGAGACAGCCUAUCAUGGACUUCGCAUUGUGAUCGUAUGGUGCUGUAAUGGAAAUCCUUUAUUUGUGACUCUUGUGGCCUUGUGUGAGAGUUUUUUCCUAAGAUGGACUACAGAGAACCAGAGAGAGUUUUAAAUGUCUUAUUACCAGAACUUAAAGACCUUUAAGCAGAUGCAUGUAAAAAAAUGAUGGUACUUGACAGUCCAGCUGCCACAAUGCUUUCAAAAAACUGGAUUUCUACUGGAUUCUUCAAGAUUACAAAGUUACAGCCUUAACAAACAGGUUGUGGACAAGGAAGACAAAGAGUGCAUGAACUGCCUGGUGAUGAAAGCCAUGGUGCAGUGGCGGCGGCGACUGCAACAAGACCCAGGCAGGAAAGGCGCGUGUGGUGUUGGGACCAGCAGACGGGCAGCCUCUGAGGCCAUUUUCUAUUUUUG